rnacentral:tRNA from 1 species
GGCCCGUUGGAGAAGCGGUUAACUCACAUGCCUUUCACGCAUGCACGCAUGGGUUCGAAUCCCAUACGGGUCGCCA